CGGCGAGUGAAGCGGCAACAGCUCAAAUUUGAAAUCUGGCGGUCUGACCGUCCGAGUUGUAAUUUGCAGAGGGAGUCUCGGGUUGAGGGUCGGUCCAAGUCUCUUGGAACAGAAUACCGCAGAGGGUGAGAGUCCCGUCUCCGGCCGACACCGAUGCCCAUGUGAGGCCCCUUCGACGAGUCGAGUUGUUUGGGAAUGCAGCUCUAAAUGGGUGGUAAAUUCCAUCUAAGGCUAAAUACCGGCCAGAGACCGAUAGCGAACAAGUAGAGUGAUCGAAAGAUGAAAAGCACUUUGAAAAGAGAGUCAAACAGUACGUGAAAUUGUUGAAAGGGAAGCGUAUGAGGGCAGACUUGGCCGCGAGUGUUCAGCCCGUCUUCUGGCGGGUUUACUCUCUCGCGGACAGGCCAGCAUCGGUUUCCGGGGCCGGACAAAGGCGGUGGGAAUGUAGCUCUCCUCGGAGAGUGUUAUAGCCCGCCGUGCAAUGCGGCC
rnacentral:rRNA from 1 species